rnacentral:tRNA from 1 species
CAUUAAGAAGCUUUCACGUCAAGCAACAG